UAAGCAAUUAAGGGCACACGGUGGAUGCCUAGGCAUGCAGAGGCGAAGAAGGACGUGUAAAGCUGCGAUAAGCUGCGGGGAGUUGCAAAAGAACUGUGAUCCGCGGAUUUCCGAAUGGGGCAACCCACUCUAAUUUAUUAGGGUAUCCUUUCGAGGAGGCAUACCCGGGGAACUGAAACAUCUAAGUACC
rnacentral:rRNA from 11 species